GUGGGUGUAGCUCAGGUGGCUAGAGCAUCAGAUUGUGGCUCUGAAGGUCGCGGGUUCAAGUCCCGUCACUCACC
rnacentral:tRNA from 1 species